AACGAACGCUGGCGGCAGGCCUAACACAUGCAAGUCGAACGCUGUAGCAAUACAGAGUGGCAGACGGGUGAGUAACGCGUGGGAACAUACCCUUUGGUUCGGAAUAACUCAGGGAAACUUGAGCUAAUACCGGAUAAGUGCGAAAGCAGAAAGAUUCAUCGCCGAAGGAUUGGCCCGCGUUCGAUUAGCUUGUUGGUGAGGUAACGGCUCACCAAGGCGACGAUCGANAGCUGGUCUGAGAGGAUGAUCAGCCACAUUGGGACUGAGACACGGCCCAAACUCCUACGGGAGGCAGCAGUGGGGAAUAUUGGACAAUGGGCGAAAGCCUGAUCCAGCCAUGCCGCGUGAGUGAUGAAGGCCCUAGGGUUGUAAAGCUCUUUCGUCAGGGACGAUAAUGGCGGUACCUGAAGAAGAAGCCCCGGNUAACUUCGUGCCAGCCGCCGCUGUAAC
rnacentral:rRNA from 1 species